UACGUAGGGGGCUAGCGUUGUCCGGAAUCAUUGGGCGUAAAGGGCUCGUAGGCGGUUUGUCGCGUCGGGAGUGAAAACCUACAGCUUAACUGUGGGCUUGCUUUCGAUACGGGCAGACUUGAGGCAUGCAGGGGAGAACGGAAUUCCUGGUGUAGCGGUGAAAUGCGCAGAUAUCAGGAGGAACACCGGUGGCGAAGGCGGUUCUCUGGGCAUGUUCUGACGCUGAGGAGCGAAAGUGUGGGGAGCGAACAGG
rnacentral:rRNA from 1 species